GGCUCCUUCAGCCUCGGCCCUCCAGAUGUUUUGAGAUGGCCCUCCCAUCAUCCCUGACCACUGGUCCUGCUAGCUAGGGAUGAUGGGAAUUGUAGUCCCAAAACAUCUGGAGGGCUGAGGUUGAGGAAGCC